UGAACGAGGAUGACACUAAUAAACAUGCCAAGCUGGAUGAGGAAAAGCCCAAAGGCUGCAACUUUACACAAAGAACUAUAGGCAACUGAGAAAAGAUGGGAGUAUGAGAGGUGAUCUUUCCCAGGGGACGACAAGACAAUUGGUUCAGUGUCAAAUAGUUAUCCCUGAGAACACCUGAGUAAUCUGAUGGACUGUGUACAUGCAAAGGAACUGAGGCUCUGAGAAGGUGUCUGACUACCUGAGCUGAUCACCGAGACCCAGGCCAUAGGAUGUGGUCACUGGAAGCCAGGGAUCAAUACCUCCCUUUCCAGGAUGUUUCCUUUCUUUUCCAAGGAAUAAACAUGAAGCAUCACUUGUUGAUAAACGUGAGUUGAACUUGACAUAUCAGAACAAUGCAAAGAAGGAAUGAAUAUGAGCAACAGUUACCACGGCAACAGCCUGUCUCUAUCUGCCCAGGUGUUUUGCAUGUAUCUUCUCUGAUCUUCACAAUAGUACACAUUACUCAACAGGAACCAGCAAGGACUGAGAGGUUAGGAAAAUUACCUCCAGCCUUAGAGGAAGGACAAGAAUUUAGCCUGCUUUUGUCUCUGAAUAGACACAAUUCUUUUAGGUGCUCAUUACUGCCUUUGUUCUUUCAAGCCCCAUCAUCAUUCUGUCAGCUAAACUUAAGUAACAACAUUUCAUUUCAAGCAGAAUUCAGUGGAAGGCAAGUGUUAGUUAGCAGUGUGACUCUUCAUCAAUAU